rnacentral:rRNA from 1 species
GGAUGCGAUCAUACCAGCACUAAAUCACG